GUGAAUCAUCGAAUUUUUGAACGCAAAUUGCACUCUCCUCGGAGAGUAUGCCUGUUUGAGGGUCAGCCUAUAAAAAAUCGACAUCGUUGCUGUUUCGCGGUGACGUUCGUCGGAAAUUGGGUCAUCUUAAAUCCUUUUGGUUUUAAGCGACUUAAAAAUUUCUUUUUGGUUCCAUGAACGUUUCUAAGAUUUAUUUCUUUACACGUUUAAGGUAAUCGUUUUUAAUUAACGUUAACCAUGAUACCGAACCGC
rnacentral:misc_RNA from 1 species